GCUUCCUUUGGUGGUACCGUCAGCUACCUCAAGGGUAGGUUUCUUCCCACCUGACAGUGUUUUACGACCCGAAAGCCUUCUUCACACACGCGGCGUUGCUGCGUCAGGCUUUCGCCCAUUGCGCAAUAUUCCC
rnacentral:rRNA from 1 species